GUUUAGAACAGCGUCAUUUUUUUAUUUUUUGAACCCUAUUCCACUCCUAAUCCCAUUCGAAUGGUAGCAGUGUGCAUCGUCUCCUCGUCUCCAAUCUCCAUCUCCCCAAUUUCCCUUCUUAGCCGUCUUUGGUCUACAAGCACCGGCUUUCGCCCCCAGCUAGAGUCGCAGCCGCUUGCAAGACCACCUUCCUGCGACACCACCACCUAGGGCUCCCACCACCUACGACGCCACUUCCUAUGGGAAGAGGAGCUCAACAGGAUUGCUAAGCUGGGAAAUGGCUCUGCUGCUACUAGGGGUUAUUGCAUCAGAUAAUCAACUUGUUCGGUGGACGACUCCUCUAGGUCUCCCUAUUGUGCAACCCUACUAUAAAACCGACCUCACAAUUCCACAGGGAGGUAAAUUUCAAGAGCCCAGGGACAGGAAUCGAACCUAGGAAGCAAUUACUGCUGACCGUCGAGCCGCACUCCCAGAAUUAGCUCUGCCACCUGAACCACACCCUAGGGUGUUGACAUCCUACUUUGUUUGCACAUUAUAUAUUUAGCAAGAAGGAAGACAGUGCCAGAGGUAACGCCAGGAAUGAAGAUUGCAUUGGGGAUUGCACGGGGAACCACCAGUUGCUUCACAAAUAAUGUCACCGCCGGCACUCCGAAGAUGUAGAGCAACACAUCCUUUGCUCCACUGCCUGUAAACCCCGUGCCACGAAUCAAAUCUCGAAUGAUAUUUUGGGACUCUUCUCUCGUUAAUUCUCCCAUCCCUGUGUGGUGAGCCUACAAAUCACAAUAUUUGGUUAUGCCAUUUAAAUAGUUUAAGAUCAAGUUGGAUAAAAACAAGUAGUGAUUGCUAAAUGUUGAAUGCAAUUAUAUAUAUACAUAUACAUGUUUUAGUGCAUAUAUUGUUCAUGAUUUGAAAAA